GGCGUAGGCGAUGGUCAACAGGUUGAUAUUCCUGUACCAGUUUCUUUUGUUUGACCGAUGGAGGGACGCAGCAGGCUAAGAUAUGCCCACUGAUGGAUGUGGGUGCAAAUAAUAAGUCUGGCGAUGAGUCAAAUGCUUAUCGCUAAGGACAAGUUAUGACGCGGAGGGAAGUACAGUACCGAAGUAUCUGACGUCACACUGCCAAGAAAAGCUUCUAGGGAGAAAGCAACUGCCCGUACCGCAAACCGACACAGGUAGUCGAGAUGAGAAUUCUAAGGUGAGCGAGCGAACUCUCGUUAAGGAACUCGGCAAAAUGACCCCGUAACUUAGGGAGAAGGGGUGCUAACGCAAGUUAGCCGCAGU
rnacentral:rRNA from 1 species